GACGAACGCUGGCGGCGUGCUUAACACAUGCAAGUCGAACGGAAAGGCCCUGCUUUUGUGGGGUGCUCGAGUGGCGAACGGGUGAGUAACACGUGAGUAACCUGCCCUUGACUUUGGGAUAACUUCAGGAAACUGGGGCUAAUACCGGAUAGGAGCUCCUGCUGCAUGGUGGGGGUUGGAAAGUUUCGGCGGUUGGGGAUGGACUCGCGGCUUAUCAGCUUGUUGGCGGGGUAGUGGCUUACCAAGGCUUUGACGGGUAGCCGGCCUGAGAGGGUGACCGGCCACAUUGGGACUGAGAUACGGCCCAGACUCCUACGGGAGGCAGCAGUGGGGAAUAUUGCAAAUGGGCGGAAGCCUGAUGCAGCAACGCCGCGUGCGGGAUGACGGCCUUCGGGUUGUAAACCGCUUUCGCCUGUGACGAAGCGUGAGUGACGGUAAUGGGUAAAGAAGCACCGGCUAACUACGUG
rnacentral:rRNA from 1 species